rnacentral:piRNA from 2 species
UCAUUCCACAGACAGGUAUGGAGCACUGAGU